rnacentral:lncRNA from 1 species
AAAGCCAUAUAUAAUGAACCCACAGCUAACUUUUAUCUCAACGGUAUAAAACUGAAAGCUUUUCCUCUAGUAUCAGAAACAAGACAAGGAUGCCCACUGAAUUAUUUGCCCACUCAUUUUUUUUCCUUGCACAAUUGAUCUGGAUAGAACUGACAAUACUAUGUUGAAUAACUUCAAGAGGUCAAUUCUGUUCAAUAACUAAGUGGAAGUCUAAGCCAGAUUGAUUAACCAAGAAAAA